rnacentral:misc_RNA from 1 species
UCUCCGUUGGUGAACCAGCGGAGGGAUCAUUACAGAGUCGUAAAACACUCCCAAACCCAUGUGAACUUACCAAUGUUGCCUCGGCGGUCCCCUGCCGGAUAGCCAGCUACCCUGUAGCGACCUACCCUGUAGCCGCCGGCGGACCAAUAAACUCUUGUUAUUCUAUGGAUAUCUGAGCGUCUUAUUUAAUAAGUUAAAACUUUCAACAACGGAUCUCUUGGUUCUGGCAUCGAUGAAGAACGCAGC